rnacentral:piRNA from 1 species
UAGUAAGAGGAAAGUAUUAUUUACUCAGAUGC